AAUAAUUGUAUUCACCUCAGAGGUGGACAACAGGAGGAUGCUUGCUAAACUAAAAGUUAUGAUGGACAGUCCCUCCCACCCCUUCCAGCCCGCCCUGACAGCACUGGGUAGCUCAUUCAGCCAGAGACUGUUACACCCGUG